rnacentral:rRNA from 1 species
AGUGGCAAACGGGUGAGUAUAAUGUGGGAACUGCCUUUUGGUCUGGAAUAACACGAGGAAACUUGUGCUAAUACCGGAUAAGCCUUUACAGGGAAAGUUUUAAUGCCAAAAGAUGAGCCCGCACUUGAUUAGCUAGUUGGUAAGGUAAGAGCUUACCAAGGCAACGAUCAAUAGCUGUUCUUAGAGGAAGACCAGCCACAUUGGGACUGAGACACGGCCCAAACUCCUACGGGAGGCAGCAGUGGGGAAUCUUGCACAAUGGGGGAAACCCUGAUGCAGCGAUGCCGCGUGAGUGAAAAAGGCCUUUGAUUUGUAAAACUCUUUCGUCGGGGAAGAAAAUGACUGUACCCGAAUAAGAAGGUCCGGCUAACUUCGUGCCAGCAGCCGCGGUAAUACGAAGGGACCUAGCGUAGUUCGGAAUUACUGGGCUUAAAGAGUUCGUAGGUGGUUAAAAAAGUUGAUGGUGAAAUCCCAAGGCUCAACCUUGGAACUGCCAUCAAAACUUUUUAGCUAGAGUAUGAUAGAGGAAAGUGGAAUUUCUAGUGUAGAGGUGAAAUUCGUAGAUAUUAGGAAGAACAUCAAAAGCGAAGGCAACUUUCUGGAUCAUUACUGACACUGAGGAACGAAAGCAUGGGUAGCGAAGAGGAUUAGAUACCCUCGUAGUCCAUGCCGA